rnacentral:rRNA from 1 species
UACGUAGGGGGCAAGCGUUGUCCGGAUUUAUUGGGCGUAAAGAGCGUGUAGGCGGCCUGAAAGGUCAGCUGUGAAAACUCGAGGCUCAACCUCGAGACGUCGGUUGAAACCAUCUGGCUAGAGUCCGGAAGAGGAGUGUGGAAUUCCCGGUGUAGCGGUGAAAUGCGCAGAUAUCAGGAGGAACACCGGUGGCGAAGGCGGGUCUCUGGGCCGAUACUGACACUGGAGG